UUAUGAAAAGCUCACUAUGCAAUUUAUGUGGGAUGGUAAAAUGGUGAAGCUUCUAAGGGAUACACAACCUGAGCCCAUGGCCAUUUUGAUCCACCAGUUGCGCUGUUUAUCGCAUUGGGAACAGAUCUUGGAGUGCUACCAUCUCUCUCUAGUUCCUGCCCCUACCCCUAUCCCUAUCCAACUCUUCUCCAUCUCCAGUUCUACCCACCUAGAUGUGUCUGCCUUACUCCACCACUACCAAGCCCUUUUCGUGGAACCCACUCCGCUUCCACCAGAGCACCCAACAGACCACACAAUUCCUUUUUUCCAAAUUCAGUCCAUAUUCUCAGAAGAAGGAGAUUGAGACUCAGGUAGCCUGCAUGCUCGCCACGAGGGAAAUUCGUCUAAGCAUCAGUGCUUUUCUUCCCCUGUUCUCUUGGUGAAGAAAAAGGACUAUACAUGGCGCUUUUGCGUUGAUUGUCAAGCACUUAAUGCGAUCACCGUCCUGGAUAGCUUUCCAAUUCUGACAAUUAACGAAUUGCUCGAUGAAUUGGGUGCUGAUGUUUGGUUCUCCAAGUUGGAUCUUCUAAAGGGCUAUCAUCAGAUUCGCUUGACCCCAAAGGAUAUGCACAAGAUCGCUUUUCUCACUCAAGAUGGCCACUAUGAGUUUCGCAUGCUUCCUUUCAGACUCUCCAAUGCCCCAGCAACAUUUCAAGCCACCAUGAAUGAUUUAUUCUGGCCCCAUUUACGCAAAUUUAUUAUCGUCUUCUUCGAUGAUAUCCUUAUCUGUAGUAUUUCUUGGGCUGAUCAUUUAUUUCAUUUGGAAACCACUUUUCAAUUGCUUCUGACUAACCAAUUCUGUUUGAAAUUGCCCAAAUGUUGUUUUGCUAUGCAACAGGUGGAAUAUUUGGGACACAUAGUCAGUGCAGGUUCAGUUGGUCCUGCCCGUUCCAAAAUUUAAGCUAUGACUUCUUGGCCAACCCCUACUUUUGUCAAGGUCUUGAAUGGUUUUCUUCAUCUCACGGGGUUCUACCGCAAAUUCAUCAAUAGUUACGCUUCCUUAGCGUCUCCCCUCUUGCGAAAGAAAGCAUUUCAGUGGUCUCCACAGGCUCAAAAGGCAUUUGAUCAGCUUAAACAUGCCAUGUCUACUGCUUUGACCAGAUUUUACGAAAAACUAUUUGUGGUUCAAUUUGAUGCCUCUAGUACUGCCAUGGGGGUAGUUUUACAUCAGGACCAAAAGCCAGUGCAUUUUUCAGUAAGAAAUUAUGUCCCCGUAUGAUGCAAGCUUCCAUCUAUUUGCAAGAGCUCCAUGCCGUUAUAGUAGCUAUAAAAAGUGGAGGCAAUACCUCUUGGGCAAUUACUUCAUCAUAAAAACAGAUCAUAAACCCCUAAAGGAUCUCUUAACUCAAACUGUGCAGACUCUGGAACAACAGUUUUACAUGAGUAAGCUUGGGUACAAUUAUACGAUUCAAUAUCACCCUGGUCACACCAACACUGCGGCAGAUGCCCUGUCAUGCCUUCCUGAGAACAGAGUACCUCUCAGUUUUAUGUCAUUACAGUUCCUCAGUUCCAAUUCUUGGAGAAAUUACGCACAACGUUUCACUCUGAUAAGCAUUUUGACUCCAUGAAAUAGGACAUUGAACAGGGUGUUGCAUCUGUAGCUGACUACAAACUGCAGGAUGGCCUUAUCUUCUUCAAGGGGAGAAUUUAGUUGCCCUCAUCUUCCCUUUUCCAUGAGAUUCUAAUGACAGAAUUUCAUUCAACUCCUUUGGGUGGUCACUUAGGAUUGGUCAAGACCCUCAAUUGAUUGCAAGAAAAAAAAUUUUGGACAGUGAUGUCUAAGGAUUUCAAGUUUUUUAUCCACAAAUGUGUUACCUAUCAACAAAUUAAGUACAUUCCUCAAAAACCUGCGAGGCUCCUCCAACCUAUUUCCCCACUCACUCUUGUCUAGGAAGACUUGGCCAUGGAUUUCAUCACUGACCUCCCUCCAUCCUGCGAGUAUACAACUAUUUUGGUGGUCGUCGAUCAUUUUUCUAAGGUCUCCCAUUUCGGCCCUCUGCCCACUUUGUAUUCUGCUUAUCAGGUGGUCCUUUUGUUUAUUAAUUUGGUGGCUAAACUCCAGGGAAUGCCCACGAGUAUUAUCUCUUAUCGCAAUUCUCUAUUUUUGAGCAAAUUUUGGCAAGAAUUGCUCAAGGCCUGUGGCACUCAGCUGCAUAUGUUAUAUGCUUAUCACCUGGAAAUGAAUGGGCAAUCCGAAGUACUCAACCACACCCUUGAGCAAUACUUACAGGCCGUUUGCCACCAUCAAACUUCUCACUGGAGUCACUACAUUCCAUACGGAAUGGUGUUACAAUACUUCUGUCCAUUCAGAUACAAGCUACACCCCUUUUAAGAUUGUGUACAAUCGUGCUCCUCCUUCGUUACCGAGAUAUUUACUGGGCCAAUUCCCAGUGGAGGCAGUCAAGGAAAUGUUCAGUUCUCGCGAUACUCUGUUAGCUAAGCUAUGCAGGAACUUACACAAGUCCCAGGAGCGCAUGAAGAAGUUGGCGGAUGUCCAUCAUCAUGACGUCCAGUUUGACGUAGGAACCUGAGUGUAUGUCAAACUCUACCCAUAUCGCCAGACUUCUGUGGUUGGUUGCACUCCCCACAAGUUAGCUAAGCACUAAUUUGGCCCUUUCCAGAUUCUCAGUCGCAUUGGGGCGGUGGCAUAUCAGUUGGCUUUACGAGAAACCUAUCUGAUCCACCCUGUUUUCCACUGUUCUAUUUUGAAACUACAUGUUAGGGUUCCACCUAAGGAGGCAGGCACUCUUCUUGUAGAAACUAAUAACAAUGGACCCUUGUUGGUACCAUUAGUCAUUUUGAAUCAUCGUGAAGAUACUUCUGUUGAUCCACCAACAGUUCAAGUUUUGGUGCAGUGGACGGGGCUUUCUCCUGAAGAAGCAACCUGGGAGUACUGGACGGAUAUCAAACAGACCUUUAACCUUGAGGACAAGGUUUUUCUCCAAGGGCCAAGGGAUGAUACAGAUGGAGGCAUUAUUGGGUCAAUGGGUCUUGCACCUAGAAUGCUAUCCAAUUGGCUGUUUCUAAGCUUAAAACUAGUUUUGAGUACAAGGUUGAUUGUGGUAAUGCUUCUUUUUUUGGUUUGUCAAUUGGGCAGAUGGAGGCACUAUUGGGCCAAGUGACACCAACAACCCAAUUGGUGAGAGUGGGCCAAGUAAUGAACCAAAACACAUAAGGAAGAACUCGAGACAAACCUCAAGGUAUCCGUUAGGGAGUGAGAAUUGCUUAUAUCAAUUGUAAGAAUCCAUUUGAAAGGAUAUGAAAAUUUUGGCUUAUUACUAAACUUCUUCUUUAGAGGACUAGUACCUCGAAUACUAGAUUUCUUUUCUUCAUCUUGUAUUAAAGUUCAUCAACAAGUAUUAGAAUGCAAAAUUAAUAUUAAUAUUAAUAUUCUAUUU